rnacentral:rRNA from 1 species
GACGAACGCUGGCGGCGCGCUUAACACAUGCAAGUCGAACGGAAAGGCCCUGCUCUUGUGGGGUGCCCGAGCGGCGAACGCGUGAGUAACACGCGAGUAACCUGCCCUUGAUUUUGGGAUAUCUUCAGGAAACUGGGGCUAAUACCGGAUAGGAGCACCCGCCCCACGGAGGGGGUUGGAAAGCUUCGGCGGCUGGGGAUGGACUCGCGGCUUAUCAGCUUGUUGGUGGGCUAGUGGCCUACCCAGGCUUUGACGGGUAGCCGGCCUGAGAUGGUGACCGGCCACAUUGGGACUGAGGUACCGCCCACCCUGCUACGGCAGGCCGCAGUGGGGAAUAUUGCACAGUGGGCGGCACCCUGAUGCAGCCCCGCCGCGUGCGGGAUGGCGGCCUUCGGGUUGUGAACCGGUUUCGCCUGUGCCGGAGCGUGCGUGACGGUAAUGGGUAAAGAAGCGCCGUCUAACUCCGUG